rnacentral:rRNA from 1 species
GAGACUUUAGAUCUCCUGAAGGAACGUUGAAGACGACGACGUUGAUAGGCCGGGUGUGUAAGCGCAGCGAUGCGUUGAGCUAACCGGUACUAAUGAACCGUGAGGCUUAACCUUACAACGCCGAAG